GACGAACGCUGGCGGCGUGCUUAACACAUGCAAGUCGAACGGAAAGGCCCUGCUUUUGUGGGGUGCUCGAGUGGCGAACGGGUGAGUAACACGUGAGUAACCUGCCCUUGACUUUGGGAUAACUUCAGGAAACUGGGGCUAAUACCGGAUAGGAGCUCCUGCUGCAUGGUGGGGGUUGGAAAGUUUCGGCGGUUGGGGAUGGACUCGCGGCUUAUCAGCUUGUUGGUGGGGUAGUGGCUUACCAAGGCUUUGACGGGUAGCCGGCCCGAGAGGGUGACCGGCCACAUUGGGACUGAGAUACGGCCCAGACUCCUACGGGAGGCAGCAGUGGGGAAUAUUGCACAAUGGGUGGAAGCCUGAUGCAGCAACGCCGUGUGCGGGAUGACGGCCUUCGGGUUGUAAACCGCUUUCGCUCAUGACGAAGCUUUGUGUGACGGUAGUGGGUAAAGAAGCACCGGCUAACUACGUG
rnacentral:rRNA from 1 species